UAGAGUUUGAUCAUGGCUCAGAUUGAACGCUGGCGGCAGGCCUAACACAUGCAAGUCGAACGGUAGCACAGAGAGCUUGCUCUCGGGUGACGAGUGGCGGACGGGUGAGUAAUGUCUGGGAAACUGCCCGAUGGAGGGGGAUAACUACUGGAAACGGUAGCUAAUACCGCAUAACGUCGCAAGACCAAAGUGGGGGACCUUCGGGCCUCACACCAUCGGAUGUGCCCAGAUGGGAUUAGCUAGUAGGUGGGGUAAUGGCUCACCUAGGCGACGAUCCCUAGCUGGUCUGAGAGGAUGACCAGCCACACUGGAACUGAGACACGGUCCAGACUCCUACGGGAGGCAGCAGUGGGGAAUAUUGCACAAUGGGCGCAAGCCUGAUGCAGCCAUGCCGCGUGUAUGAAGAAGGCCUUCGGGUUGUAAAGUACUUUCAGCGGGGAGGAAGGCG
rnacentral:rRNA from 1 species